GACGAACGCUGGCGGCGUGCCUAACACAUGUAAGUCGAGCGAUGAAAUCCCUUCGGGGAUGGAUUAGCGGCGGACGGGUGAGUAACACGUGGGCAACCUACCUCAAAGUGGGGGAUAGCCUCCCGAAAGGGAGAUUAAUAGCGCAUAACAUUAGUGUUUCACAUGAAGGACUAAUUAAAGGAGUAAUCCGUUUUGAGAUGGGCCCGCGGCGCAUUAGCUAGUUGGUGAGGUAAUGGCUCCCCAAGCCGCCGAUGCGAAGCCGACCUGAGAGAGUGAGGGGCCACAUUGGAACUGAGACACGGUCCAGACUCCUACGGGAGGCAGCAGUGGGGAAUAUUGCACAAUGGGGGAAACCCUGAUGCAGCAACGCCGCGUGAGUGAUGAAGGUCUUCGGAUUGUAAAGCUCUGUCUUUUGGGACGAUAAUGACGGUACCAAAGGAGGAAGCCACGGCUAACUACGUGCCAGCAGCCGCUGUAACAC
rnacentral:rRNA from 1 species